rnacentral:pre_miRNA from 4 species
AGUGUGAUUGCUGGAUUGUAUGGUAAGACUAUCUUUAGCUUUGUAAGAAACUGCCAAAUUGCCUUUCAAAGUGACUGCACUAUUUUGCAUUUCCACAAGCAAU